GUUUAUAAUUUAAAUCUGGAAUGAAUGGUUGAAUGAUAUAUUAACUUUAUAAAUUAUUUAAAUUGAAUUUUAUUUUUUAGUUAAAAAGCUAAAAUGUAGUUAAGGGACGAGAAGACCCUAUAGAUUUUUAUAAUUAUUGUAUUUAUAUAAUAUAUAAUAUUUAUAAUAUAAUAUAAAUAAUUAUUUUGUUGGGGAGAUAAUAAAAUUAAUUAAACUUUUAUUUUUUUAUUUCAUAAAUUUAUGUAUAAUUGAUCUUUUAAUAUAGAUUAUAAAUUUAAAUUACCUUAGGGAUAACAGCAUAAU
rnacentral:rRNA from 1 species